GCAAUGAAUUAGCCAUUCAUUUUUUACUCUAGUGUGAUUGAUUCAUAAAUGAUCAUCCAGAAUCUUCAUGAAAAAUGAAAGCUUUGAGUCUAAUCUUAAAAGUAGAGAGGGUGUAUGUCUCUGAGCUGGUUGCAUAGGACAGAGGCCUAACACCUGAAUCCUUUCUCUAGAAACUCUAGGAACCAACAACAAGCCUGCAGUCUGAGAGCAAAGUGCUCAGGUUAGCUAAAAUGAUAUUGUGAGGCCUUUAAGGUAUGACAGGGCCAGAUUACUCAGCACUUCUCCCUUUGUAGUCCUCUGUUAAUACACUUCCUGCAGGAUUUAGCAGCACUAGCCAUGUAAUCAAUUCAGCUGCUCUUCAUCAGAGUUAAGACGAUGUUACAUAGAGGUCAGGAAGUCGGGAAGUUCAUAUUAAAAAGACAAAUGCAGGAAAACAGAGUGAGGCAGGUCCGGGAAGAGAAGCUGAUAGCUCAAAAGGCUUCAAUUAAAUAUAUAGAAACCAGGUCUAAUAUUCAAAAUAUACUGUAAUGACGAUGUUACCGUCUACUACAGUAGGGGGCGACUUGCACCUUUAGUCUAACCACAGUAAACCUAAAGACGAGGAAGUAAAGUUGCCCAUGAGCAGUCACGUAAUUUCCUGCAACCUGUGGAGGUAACUGUCGCGGAGGUCCGUCUGCAUCUGUUUUUGUUUUCUCACGGCGCUGGGCUGCCCUCUGUGUCCCAAAUUCACCACCACACGUGCAAGGACCAUGUGCAGACAUCUGGAGUCCCACAUCAAAAAUGCAGUUUAUUUCCAAGAUACAAACAUUUGCAGAUGCAACCUGCCUUGCCGAGACACGGGUCAUUACCACUGCCCGCACUGUGAGAAAACAAUCAUGCGCAAAGAGGAUAUGACAUUACACGUAACUGGAUGUCGAAACACAUGUGAUACAGUGCCACCUUCGGCAGAAAUCAGGGCACCUGCAUCAUCGUCAUCAUCCUUUUUCACUCCCUGUGCUCCCCAGCAGAGGUCAGCGCAGCCUCCUUUGGAGCGUAACCUUCCCACAUCAGCUGGAGAGGACUCUGUAAUGUCAGACCAUUGUUGCACACUUGUGUCACCUGUUGACACUCCGCCAUCCUGUCAGCCAAACUCGGCUCCCCCUCCAGACGCCUGUAAACCACCUGCCGAGGCGGCACAGUCUGAAGCCACAGAGCUGCUCUCUUCACGUGUGAUGUAUUUAAAGUCAGUGAAGUGCCCUCACUGCGCCGUCGUUCUCUACAAAAAGAACUUAUUGGUGCACAUACAAAGAAAACAUUAAAGCUGCAUCUCAUAGUAAAAGCAAAGGUGUUAGUAAAGCUUAUGGCCUCUUUGACUUCCCAAAAGGCAUUCAUGUGAGACUUGGAUGACUGAGCUGCCUCAGAACAACAGUGGGGGCUGUUCAGUGGAUCAUUGACAGUAUGUGGAGAAAAACACAGUAGAAAAUUUGCUGACACAUAUGUAUUCCACACUGAAUUGAUUAUAUUUUGGUCUUUAUAUUAUAAUUUCUUGUUUAGAGGGAAUUCAACAUAUUUUUUUGCACUUUAUUAAAGGAGCGUUGUUUGGUUCACAGUUCCAUAUGAGUUUAGGUCUCCUCUGCCUCCAUGUAACCUCUUCUGAUUGGUUGCCUAUCACAAGCAUAAGGCUUGAACAGCAGAUGGAUGGAGCUUCUUUGUGACUGAGAUGAUCAUAUUUGGGAUAUCCACUCUCACUGGCAUCAUACAGAUCCAAAAGUAUAGAAGAUUGCCUGAAACUGAGUGUUCAAGUGAAUUAUUCGGUGGUCAAAGAUCACAACAUUUUGACAAUACCUGAAAUAUUUAUGUACCAAGUCUUAUAAAAUUUCACUUAAAAGGGAAACCAGGUUAAAUGUGUCAAUAUUCAGAAUAGAGAAAAAAAAAUCUGGAAAGUUUUCAGCUUUACGUCUCAGGAACAGGUGGUCAAAUUUUGAGAGUGUGUUGGUUUAGGCCGAGGCAGAAGUCCUAAAAAAACUAACUCUGUGGAGCAGAGCAGGCCCAUGCAUAUCUUUGUAGUUGCAAUCAUGUAUUUGCAGUUUCCCUUUCAAAGCAGGAGAGCCACAAUACAA